UCAGAAUUUCAGCAUUUCACCAAGGGGAAGAAGCUUGUCUAAUCUGGAUUUGCCUCACCCCAUUAGGGUUGGAUGGGUCUGAGGCAGCCAAGUACGCUUGGGUCACCUCAGCGUUGGGUCACCUUGACAACGCACCUGGCAUCCACAGCUGGUAUCAAAGAGCGAUGCGCGUCUCGUCCAGGCAGCUCCACUGGUGCAGCACAGCGUGACUUUUAGCAGAGAAAACAGUCAUUCAUUUAUGAGAAAACAUGCAGCAAUGCUAAAUCCCUCAGCUGUACUGCUACUUAAGGGGGUCCAGGUAGCAACAUCGGCUACACGAGCUACACCCAUUGGCUAAAAGAAUAAAAGGAGCCCGCUGCCAGCCCUCUCCUGAUUGGCGGCCCACCGCUGGGCGGCUGGGUGACGGGCUUCGUUCGUUAGCCCGUGACGGACAGUGCAACAGCUGGGGGAGGUCCCUCUGCUCCGCCCCCUGCUCCUGCCCCCACGCUGGGCUUGGGGCUAGCUCCGCCCUCCCUCUCCAGGGGACCCGCUGUGCCAGAGCACCUCGUUAGCCCGGACAACCCCCAGCAACCGCCCCCAGAAGGAGGAGGUGACAGACGGAUGCUAAUGGAGAGAGCACAGCUCCAUCCUUCUUCACCACCAGUCCCACUUUUCCUGCUUCAAUCUGCUCCACACGUUGGGCCAGAUGCCGCUACCGUCAUGUUAAUGCUACCACACCUGGUGCACGUGUUGAGCUUCACCUGUGUGUAAUCUGCAAGAAUUCUAAAAUUAAGUAGUAACCACCCUCUAAACUGCAGUUUUUUUUUUGCUUUACAAAACAAAUGACACAAGUUCUGUUAAAAACCUGUAAUAUUAAAUGAUACAUGAUUGGACAGACAGGCAGACAGAAAGACAGACAGAUAGGUCAUUUUACAACACCAGGAGUCCCGCAAAAGGCCCCCACCAGGUUUCUUUCUAACAUCCCCAGAUACAGAUAGAAGUUACUGAUAUCUCUUUCCCUUUUAACUCUUUAUGCGCAAACACAAUAUAAAUAAUCCACACACAAAAGAUAUAUACACAAAGAUAGACUGAUUUACAGGAAGUCAAAUUAAAUACAGUAUAUACCUCAGUGGUAUGUGUGAACAACACAGUAAGUGCUGUAAAACGGUGUCAACCUUAUUCUAGUAAAUCAGGCCUUCAGCGAUGAAACUGAACCAGCGAAACCUGGACAGGUUGGGGAUCCUGAGGAAAAGCGCAUCAUUAUCGCACUGUUUUUAAUCCCCCACUGCAGACUCAUUACUUUCUCUGUACGCUCGUAUUUCAAAAACCCAUGCCCCGCUCAAAAGCACAGGAGCCGGUUUAUGAGAAGAAGACAACCUGAACUUAAGCGUUGAGCGAUCUCAAGCGGGCGUUUAUUGUUUUGUUAACACGGCCAGGCGGCGAAUACUUAAUUUACUUGUAAGGGAUCCGUAACAUGACAUCUACAUUUCAAGCCAUUUGUUAAACAAAAGCUACAAGGAAGCCAAGGGCAUUUGGCGCUGUGGCAAACACAAUGGCAAACAGGGCCGGUGGGGGGGCGAUGGCUUUCAUGAAAAUGAGCAACCACACCGACAAUGCAGGCCCUAAUCUCUUCAGAGGCCAGGAAUCAGUUACACAGCAGUUCUUGUUUCUCAAUGCUUUUCAUUAUAACCGGCUUCCCAUUCAAACACACCCCCACCUACAACCCACCCACCCUCCUAAUGUGUUGCCAGGGGCUCUUCUCUUACUGGGAUCAGAUAUGAGGUACCCCCACCCCCCCUGCCCCACAACAGAAGGGGAGAAAUAAGUGGGGCAGGCAAGAAGGAGGGGGCUAGGCCUCAAAGCAUGGGAUUAGAGUUAAUGUGCCUCCCUAGGUUUAUAAUCUCUUCAGAGGGGGCUUUGUUUGAGAGCCAGAGGGCGGCGAGAUAAGUAUCUAUUACAGAAACUCCCUCUUAGCCGACCCCCCUCUCAGCCAAAAUAAAACACAAACCACUUGGCUCUGCUCCCCUGUUCCCCCCCGAUAUCCAAAACCAAAAAACAAGUGCUGCCCCUUUUCAGCUAAUCUGGAAUUAGGGGACAGAGCCGUGCAGAGAGCCAAAGGGAUCCCAUAUUUACCCCAUCUGUGCCCCUCAAACUGAAACCAGUCUGGGAAGAUCAAAGACGGGUUUUGAAAAGAAAUGAGAUUAUAGCCAAGGAGAGCCAGCUUUACCCCUUUUUCUUAGGGGAGAAUGGAGGGGUGUUUGCAAAGGACACCAUAUGACGGUGUUUAGAC